rnacentral:rRNA from 1 species
UACGUAGGCAGCGAGCGUUGUUCGGAGUUACUGGGCGUAAAGGGUGUGUAGGCGGUUCUUUUAAGUUUGGUGUGAAAUCUCCCGGCUCAACUGGGAGGGUGCGCCGAAUACUGAGGGACUAGAGUGCGGGAGAGGAAAGUGGAAUUCCUGGUGUAGCGGUAGAAAUGCGUAGAUAUCAGGAGGAACACCGGUGGUGUAGACGGCUUUCUGGACCGUAACUGACGCUGAGACACGAAAGCGUGGGUAGCAAACAGG